UUUCAAAGACGAGCUCUGGAA
rnacentral:miRNA from 1 species